GAUGGUAAGACAAUAAGUCAUUUUAUGUAAAAGUUAUUUUUUAAAUUCGAAUUCAAAAUACACUACAACAAAAACGGUCUAUAGCGACACUUUUAAAUGUAGGUAUAUGUCAAAAAAGUGCUGCUAGCUAAAAUUACCGACACUUUUAAAAAGUGUUGCUAUAUGUGGGGUCGUUAGGUAUAUAGUGACAGUUAAAGAGUGUUGCUAUAACCUAAAAAAGUGCUGUUAGUUUACCAACACUUAUUUAAGCAUUUAGUAACCGCCGAAACUCUAUCUCGUUGGCUGCAGUGGCGGAGGAGGAUGACAGUAAAGGCUUUUCGUCUAGAAUUUCAGUGGAUUGAGUGAAGAGAGAAGAAAAGAUGGUAAUUGAUUUUUCUUUUUUUUUUUUUUUCUGUUUGUAAUCGGGCCAAAUGGACUGGGUGUGGUGGGUUGAGUAGAGUAAUCUUUUAUUUUUGGUUGGAUUGGGCUUUAUAUUUAGGCAUUAGUAGAUGUGUUUUUAAGUUUUAGCAUAAAUGGGACACUUACUCAAAAGUGUCCCAAAUAUGUGUCCCUAUAACCUAAUUUUGUUGUAGUGAUAUAAAUUUAAUAUUUGAUUUUAAAUUCAAAGUUUAAAUUUGAAUUUCGA
rnacentral:lncRNA from 1 species